rnacentral:rRNA from 1 species
GGGGAAUCUUGCGCAAUGGCCGAAAGGCUGACGCAGCGACGCCGCGUGCGGGAGGAAGCCCUUCGGGGUGUAAACCGCUGUCAGGAGGGACGAAAGCCACCGGGAGGGAAUGCCUGGUGGAAGGACGGUACCUCCAGAGAAAGCACCGGCUAACUCCGUGCCAGCAGCCGCGGUAAUACGGAGGGUGCGAGCGUUGUUCGGAAUUACUGGGCGUAAAGCGUGCGCAGGCGGUUUUGUAAGUCUGACGUGAAAUCCCCGGGCUCAACCUGGGAAUUGCGUUGGAGACUGCAAGGCUAGAAUCUGGCAGAGGGGGGUAGAAUUCCACGUGUAGCAGUGAAAUGCGUAGAGAUGUGGAGGAACACCGAUGGCGAAGGCAGCCCCCUGGGUCAAGAUUGACGCUCAUGCACGAAAGCGUGGGGAGCAAA